rnacentral:rRNA from 1 species
ACUCUUACUUGACCCUACAAAACAUAAUUAAAUAAAAUACUUUAAUAACAACUCUCUCCUUACUCGUCGAAUAUUUAAGUACUAAAAAGGAAACAACUAAUAAAUUUAAGUAGUGUGUAACUCACGUACCUUGUGCAUUAUGAUUUUACAAGCUAAUAAUUAAAAAUAAACUCCCGAAUUCUACACGAGCUGCCCAUAUAUAGCUUAGAGCCCCCUAUUAGUUGUAGCACCAACUUUAGAAAAUAUACUGGCAGAGGCUACAUACCACACGCGUUAGAAAAUUGCUGGUUCUCGAUAAAAUUUAUUAAUUAAAACAUGUAGCACCGCUAUAGUGUAAGAUUUUAGAGGACAAGCCCUAAAAUCCCAGGCUAGAUAACCUAAAUUACAAACAGCUAGGCUUAAAAACAGCCACUAACAGUACUUUACCGUACUACUUAUACAAUAAAUAUCUAUAAUGCCCCGUAAAAUCGAGAUUUAAGAAAAAUAUUUAACCUUAAAAUAUUAUGUAAAAAUAAGUAUUAGAAAAAUAAAUAACAAUUAACCUAUAACAAUCUAUACAAUUAUCAAUAAAAACUUAUAAAGGAACUCGGCAAAUUAUUAUUU